rnacentral:rRNA from 1 species
CCGUAGGUGAACCUGCGGAAGGAUCAUUACCGAGUGCGGGCCCUCGCGGCCCAACCUCCCACCCUUGUCUCUAUACACCUGUUGCUUUGGCGGGCCCACCGGGGCCACCUGGUCGCCGGGGGACGCACGUCUCCGGGCCCGCGCCCGCCGAAGCGCUCUGUGAACCCUGAUGAAGAUGGGCUGUCUGAGUACUGUGAAAAUUGUCAAAACUUUCAACAAUGGAUCUCUUGGUUCCGGCAUCGAUGAAGAACGCAGCGAAAUGCGAUAAGUAAUGUGAAUUGCAGAAUUCCGUGAAUCAUCGAAUCUUUGAACGCACAUUGCGCCCCCUGGCAUUCCGGGGGGCAUGCCUGUCCGAGCGUCAUUUCUGCCCUCAAGCACGGCUUGUGUGUUGGGUGUGGUCCCCCCGGGGACCUGCCCGAAAGGCAGCGGCGACGUCCGUCUGGUCCUCGAGCGUAUGGGGCUCUGUCACUCGCUCGGGAAGGACCUGCGGGGGUUGGUCACCACCAUGUUUUACCACGGUUGACCUCGGAUCAGGUAGGAGUUACCCGCUGA